UACGGAGGGGGCUAGCGUGGUUCGGAAUUACGGGGCGUAAAGCGCCCGUAGGCGGCUUUGCAAGUUAGAGGUGAAAGCCCGGGGCUCAACUCCGGAAUUGCCUUUAAAACUGCAUCGCUAGAAUUGUGGAGAGGUAAGUGGAAUUCCGAGUGUAGAGGUGAAAUUCGUAGAUAUUCGGAAGAACACCAGUGGCGAAGGCGACUUACUGGACACAUAUUGACGCUGAGGUGCGAAAGCGUGGGGAGCAAACAGG
rnacentral:rRNA from 1 species